rnacentral:RNase_P_RNA from 1 species
UGGGACCUUCGGGUUGUCGCGGUGUGGCUUGACUGCACCGAGGAAAGUCCGAGCACCAUAGGGUAGUAUGCUGGUUAACGGCCAGGCGGGGGAACCCGACGGCAAGUGCAACAGAGAGUAGACCGCCGAACUCGCGUCUUCGGGCGUGGGUGGUAAGGGUGAAAGGGUGGGGUAAGAGCCCACCAGCACGGGUAGUGAUACACGUGGCUGGGUAAACCCCAUACGGUGCAAGACUAAAUAGGGAAACAGGGCAUCCCAGAGGUGUCGAGAAGUGACCCGCUUCUGGUUUCCGGGUAAGUCGCUUGAGGGGGUCGGUAACGGCCUUCCCAGAUGAAUGACAACCGGCUCGUUUCGGCGAGUUACAGGACUCGGCUUAUAGAAGGUCCCACGUC